rnacentral:rRNA from 1 species
AGUGAAGGCUGGCGGUAGGCCUAACACAUGCAAGUCGAACGGCAGCACAGUAAGAGCUUGCUCUUACGGGUGGCGAGUGGCGGACGGGUGAGGAAUACAUCGGAAUCUACUUUUUCGUGGGGGAUAACGUAGGGAAACUUACGCUAAUACCGCAUACGACCUACGGGUGAAAGCAGGGGAUCUUCGGACCUUGCGCGAUUGAAUGAGCCGAUGUCGGAUUAGCUAGUUGGCGGGGUAAAGGCCCACCAAGGCGACGAUCCGUAGCUGGUCUGAGAGGAUGAUCAGCCACACUGGAACUGAGACACGGUCCAGACUCCUACGGGAGGCAGCAGUGGGGAAUAUUGGACAAUGGGCGCAAGCCUGGUCCAGCCAUACCGCGUGGGUGAAGAAGGCCUUCGGGUUGUAAAGCCCUUUUGUUGGGAAAGAAAAGCAGCAGGUUAAUACCCCGCUGUUCUGACGGUACCCAAAGAAUAAGCACCGGCUAACUUCGUG